rnacentral:rRNA from 1 species
UCGAACGAUGAACUGGAGCUUGCUCCAGGAAUUAGUGGCGAACGGGUGAGUAACASGUGAGUAACCUGCCCUUGACUCUGGGAUAAGCGCUGGAAACGGCGUCUAAUACCGGAUACGAGCUUCAGCCGCAUGGCUAGGAGUUGGAAAGAAUUUCGGUCAAGGAUGGACUCGCGGCCUAUCAGCUAGUUGGUGAGGUAAUGGCUCACCAAGGCGACGACGGGUAGCCGGCCUGAGAGGGUGACCGGCCACACUGGGACUGAGACACGGCCCAGACUCCUACGGGAGGCAGCAGUGGGGAAUAUUGCACAAUGGGCGCAAGCCUGAUGCAGCAACGCCGCGUGAGGGAUGACGGCCUUCGGGUUGUAAACCUCUUUUAGUAGGGAAGAAGCGAAAGUGACGGUACCUGCAGAAAAAGCACCGGCUAACUACGUGCCAGCAGCCGCGGUAAUACGUAGGGUGCAAGCGUUGUCCGGAAUUAUUGGGCGUAAAGAGCUCGUAGGCGGUUUGUCGCGUCUGCUGUGAAAUCUGGGGGCUCAACCCCCAGCCUGCAGUGGGUACGGGCAGACUAGAGUGCGGUAGGGGAGAUUGGAAUUCCUGGUGUAGCGGUGGAAUGCGCAGAUAUCAGGAGGAACACCGAUGGCGAAGGCAGAUCUCUGGGCCGUAACUGACGCUGAGGAGCGAAAGCAUGGGGAGCGAACAGGAUUAGAUACCCUGGUAGUCCAUGCCGUAAACGUUGGGAACUAGAUGUGGGGGCCAUUCCACGGUCUCCGUGUCGMAGCUAACGCAUUAAGUUCCCCGCCU